rnacentral:lncRNA from 1 species
UUCAAUCUUCAUCAUCCAUAUAGCAAGUAAUAUUGCUUAACAUCAUUAACCUCGUUCAAUGACCAUUGAUACAAACUUUAGUUUAACUUCGCUUCCCGAAUCCUACACAGUUAUGUUCGCAUGUAUACAUACAUUAGUCACAGAUUCAUAUCCUAUAACCUGUAUAGCUAACAAUAUUCACAUAAACUAUAACAAUAUCGGAUAUUCUUAUUUCCAAGAAACUUUCAUAUUCCUUUAGAAUAUUUUAGGUUUCGGCUUAUUAUAGCUAUACAUUCUCAAAAAGUUCCAACACAGCUUUUAAAAUGUCAAUUCAUUACAUUUACAGUUUAUAACCCUUUUAUAAUGCAUUUACGGACUUUACACGCAUCUAUAUGUAGACUUAUAGUCAUAUAGUGCAUCUGUGCCUUUACUUUGCGUAAAUAUAGCUUAUUUUCGCUUUCGUGAGUAAUUUAAAUACUAUUCCGCACGAAUAUUAGUUUUCUAGGCUUAAUGCAUUCAUAUUACAUUACUUUUCCCCUUUCAUGUACACAUGAGGUAUAUAUAUGCUUUUGCAUGUACGCCUCUUUUAUCAUGUCAAACCUUGCCUCAUUUGCUUGGCUUGUAGGUAGACAUAUCCUAUUUGUAUGUCUUAUACCUACAAAUAGCUUAUUAAUGUCAAGCGUUGAUUUUUCAACUCCGUUUACACAAUCCUCGCUUUGUAUUUCGAAAACCGCUUAGUUUCAAAUACAAUUUUAAAAUAGCUUUGCACACUAUCUGCGUAUUCCCGAUAAACGGAUGUAUUAUACGUAUAUAUGUAAACUUGUGUUUACUUAUCGCUUUUAUAUCUUUUACUAUAAUCAGAAUGGAUAUACGUGUCAUAUGGUUGCUAGAAUGCGUUUUAUAGGUGUCUUGGUGCAUCGGGACAUUCUUAACUCCCUUUUCACGACUUCUAAUAAUUACUCACAUACAUGAAUGUAUUAGCCACAUAUCUUUCACAUAUAACUUAUUUAGUUAUAUAUUAAUAUCCACAUUAAUCACAUCUUCAACCUUUAUUCUAGUUUUUGAAAAUUUCUUGCAUUAUGUUCAAAAACCUUUAUUCUUUUACGCACGAGAGUCAUUUAUCGCCUUAAUAGGUUUUGACAUGAUUUUAGUUCAUGAAUACCUCACAGUUUUAAUUUAUACCCCACUUAUCGCUUAAUACAUGGGUAUUCUAUAUUUUUAUAGGAAACUUUGGUAUUCAAAGUGAACUCAUAGCUCAUUUUGUGCAUUGAGAGUAAUUAUGACUUGUAUGGUUAACUUAUAUCUUCUAUAAUAAUUUAUAGUUCCAUUCUCGUAUACUAAUGCGUUAAAUGCUAUCGCGUUUCAACAUAAUGCCGAAACAGCCCCUUGCUUGGCUUUAACAAUCCCAAGCUUAGCUUUCAUCCUCUAUAUUACUAAUUCAAUUACAUUGAAUUUGAAUAUGUUAUAGAUUCCAUACACCCAUCUGUUUAGAGGUUUAGAAACUAAGUUUUUUAUGAGUAAACUAUCAAAUUAAACCACGAAACAAAAAAAAUGAUUCACCAACGCUACUACAGCAGCUGCUCACUACCGACUGCUGCUGCCAAUGGGCAGCAACCCCUCCUCUUGACUCUUGUUAUGAUAGCUUUUAUCAUGCACUUGAUUAGUUUAAAUUAGGCUAAAUCUUGUUUAUAAUGUAGGUAAUACAUUCAUCUAUUUUAGAAUCAUACAAGCCAAAUAAUUCAAGCAAAUUAAAUGCAUUGACUGAGAGCCCAAAAGAGACCCCCAGCCAACGCCGAACAUUGCCCCCUACUGCUGCCGUGGGCAGCAGCUCUGUUCUCAAUGUGCUUCUUUCGCGAUUUCUUUACUUCCACCCCAUAUGCUGGAUUACUUCAAAUUUUAAGUAUCUUUUAUAUAACAUAUGAGACUAUAUAUUUAAAAGUUAUAAAUUCCUCAUUUCGAACUCUUUGGGCUGCCCAAAAUAGUGCUCAAGAGUAGCUUGACGCACUAACCUUGAAUUUUUCGGUUUAAGUUAAAAUCGCUUUUCGCUUUCAUUUGAUAUGCCCAGACUCUUCAUUUAACUGUGUAAAGUGUUUUUACGAUCAAUCUUAGCUUUGGCUUCUCUCUUUUUUUUCUUUUUUUUUAAUCCAAACAGUCCAUAGAGGACUUUUGACAAACAAGUGGUGUACGCUGUUUUGAUACACAACUUUCAUAGCGAUUUGCUUAUACUACAAUCCCUUUAUAUCCUCCUUAUAUCAUCACACAACCAAGCCUAAACUCCUUUGCUUUAUUUCAAUUCAAAGCAGUUCAUUUCACAGUUAAAUAUACUAUUAAACAACUAAUGGAGCAAUUCUCAUAUAGCAUAAUAUAAAUAUUGCAAAGGGGUAAUUACCUCUUAGUUUGCUGCAAAUUUCCAGUUCAGCGAUGUUAUAGUGCUCCUUAAUGCCGAAUUUAGUUUCAAUUUUAUUUCCACAGCUGAAAUUCCCUUAAGCUUUUUUCCCUCUUUAGCCGAACCCAACAAAUUCUAGAAAAUUUAGGGACUUGGUUUGGUCCGUAUGGAUUAUGU